rnacentral:tRNA from 2 species
CGCCGGCGUGGGGCAGGGCGGUCCAUUGCAGUUUCACGCCGCGGGCGGCCAACUGCUGUUCGAGCCAGCCGUCUUCGA